GGGCAUCUGGCGCAGUGGUAGCGCGUCCGCUUUGCAUCUUGCAAGCUUGCGGAAGGUCUAGGGUUCGAUCCCCUAGUUGUCCA